GACGAACGCUGGCGGCGUGCCUAAUACAUGCAAGUCGAACGAGAGCGACCGGUGCUUGCACUGGUCAAUCUAGUGGCGAACGGGUGAGUAACACGUGGGUAACCUGCCCAUCAGAGGGGGAUAACAUUCGGAAACGGAUGCUAAAACCGCAUAGGUCUUCGAACCGCAUGGUUUGAAGAGGAAAAGAGGCGCAAGCUUCUGCUGAUGGAUGGACCCGCGGUGCAUUAGCUAGUUGGUGAGGUAACGGCUCACCAAGGCCGUGAUGCAUAGCCGACCUGAGAGGGUGAUCGGCCACAUUGGGACUGAGACGCGGCCCAAACUCCUACGGGAGGCAGCAGUAGGGAAUCUUCCGCAAUGGACGCAAGUCUGACGGAGCAACGCCGCGUGAGUGAAGAAGGUUUUCGGAUCGUAAAACUCUGUUGUUAGAGAAGAACAAGUGCUAGAGUAACUGUUAGCGCCUUGACGGUAUCUAACCAGAAAGCCACGGCUAACUACGUG
rnacentral:rRNA from 1 species